UACGUAGGGGGCUAGCGUUGUCCGGAAUCAUUGGGCGUAAAGAGCGUGUAGGCGGCCCGGUAAGUCCGCUGUGAAAGUCGGGGGCUCAACCCUCGAAUGCCGGUGGAUACUGUCGGGCUAGAGUGCGGAAGAGGCGAGUGAAUUCCUGGUGUAGCGGUGAAAUGCGCAGAUAUCAGGAGGAACACCGAUUGCGAAAGGCAGCUCGC
rnacentral:rRNA from 1 species